rnacentral:lncRNA from 1 species
AAAUGAAAAAAUUAAGCUAACUUCACUUUAGAGGGAAAUUUUUUUUUAAUGUUCUAUAGAUUCUGAAGGCAGUUCUAAACAAGAGCCUAUCAAAUGCUCUUGGGAGACUAUUUUGAAGCACAAAAUUCCAGAGUAUGCAAAACCCAUGUCACCACUACUCUGUCUCCCGUUAGCUAAUCGCCUGCCCUCUGUAGGUGUUACUCAUACACACACAUUCUCUAUGUGAAUGAAUAAAUACAAUUUAUUUGGAUCUUGAACUCCUAGACAUUUGAUUUUUAAAAUCAUUCUC